GUCGUAAUCCAUAAUCCAUAAUCAUCUUAUAAUAAAGCUCGAGAAGGUAUAGUGUGUUCAUCUAUAUGGGGAAUAAUUUUUAUUUAUUUUUUUUGCUAGUAUUUGUGACGCAUUGUACCGUGUUAAGCAAACUGUUAGGGAUCUGUGUGCCAGUGCCAGUGUGCACGCGUAUGCAUGCAUACACUGAGGUUAGGUGUGGAGUUUGGUAAGGAUCACACGUCGUGCAUACGCAGUCAAUCCAAUCUAACAACAUUUCCAAACAAACGAGAGUUGAACGCGCGCGCGCCCGCCCACGUGUUUGCUUGGUGUUCUUCUUUCCGACAUGUGGACUGUUUCUCUUCGCUCUCUCACUGUAAAACUCCGCCAUUGUUGUUCCUCUUUCUUUUCGGUAUCUGAGACGCGCGAGCUUCUCGUCGUAUCGAUUGCGUCGUUGACUUUUAACGUUACUGCGCGCUACGUGUCACGAGAUGCACGAGAGCUUCUGGAGCAAGUGUAGAACUGCCCUCACGCGCCUGCACACGUGCAUAUGCAUAUAUACAUAUACAUACACGCAUGCACGCGCGCAACACCUCGGCCCUCACUUCUAAUUGAUGUAAAUAGGAAGCAGAGGCGCGCGCGCGCUGACCUUCUUCUACAGGCAAAACUCCUCAGUGUGGCUAUGAGAAUGGGAACAUGACUGAGGUGAGCGGGAACGGGAACGGAACGGGAACUUAGACUGAGUGAAACUAAUUGAUGUAGAAGUUACAAUAAUGGGAAGAUCAACAGAUGGAGGAGUGUGUGAUAAUCUGCAGGAAACGGAGGUGCGUUUUUGUUGCUAAUUCAGCAACGUUUGCUAAUUACACAUGCUAGAAUCAUAAUGCUAGUCAAACUAGCCAACUAGCACAUGCUGACUCAGG